rnacentral:rRNA from 2 species
GAUUAAGUUAUUAAGGGCGCACGGUGGAUGCCUUGGCACUAGAAGCCGAUGAAGGACGUUACUAACGACGAUAUGCUUUGGGGAGCUGUAAGUAAGCUUUGAUCCAGAGAUUUCCGAAUGGGGAAACCCAGCAUGAGUUAUGUCAUGUUAUCGAUAUGUGAAUACAUAGCAUAUCAGAAGGCACACCCGGAGAACUGAAACAUCUUAGUACCCGGAGGAAGAGAAAGAAAAUUCGAUUCCCUUAGUAGCGGCGAGCGAAACGGGAAGAGCCCAAACCAACAAGCUUGCUUGUUGGGGUUGUAGGACACUCUAUACGGAGUUACAAAGGACGACAUUAGACGAAUCAUCUGGAAAGAUGAAUCAAAGAAGGUAAUAAUCCUGUAGUCGAAAAUGUUGUCUCUCUUGAGUGGAUCCUGAGUACGACGGAGCACGUGAAAUUCCGUCGGAAUCUGGGAGGACCAUCUCCUAAGGCUAAAUACUCUCUAGUGACCGAUAGUGAACCAGUACCGUGAGGGAAAGGUGAAAAGCACCCCGGAAGGGGAGUGAAAUAGAACCUGAAACCGUGUGCUUACAAGUAGUCAGAGCCCGUUAAUGGGUGAUGGCGUGCCUUUUGUAGAAUGAACCGGCGAGUUACGAUUUGAUGCAAGGUUAAGCAGUAAAUGUGGAGCCGUAGCGAAAGCGAGUCUGAAUAGGGCGUUUAGUAUUUGGUCGUAGACCCGAAACCAGGUGAUCUACCCUUGGUCAGGUUGAAGUUCAGGUAACACUGAAUGGAGGACCGAACCGACUUACGUUGAAAAGUGAGCGGAUGAACUGAGGGUAGCGGAGAAAUUCCAAUCGAACCUGGAGAUAGCUGGUUCUCUCCGAAAUAGCUUUAGGGCUAGCCUCAAGUGAUGAUUAUUGGAGGUAGAGCACUGUUUGGACGAGGGGCCCCUCUCGGGUUACCGAAUUCAGACAAACUCCGAAUGCCAAUUAAUUUAACUUGGGAGUCAGAACAUGGGUGAUAAGGUCCGUGUUCGAAAGGGAAACAGCCCAGACCACCAGCUAAGGUCCCAAAAUAUAUGUUAAGUGGAAAAGGAUGUGGCGUUGCCCAGACAACUAGGAUGUUGGCUUAGAAGCAGCCAUCAUUUAAAGAGUGCGUAAUAGCUCACUAGUCGAGUGACACUGCGCCGAAAAUGUACCGGGGCUAAACAUAUUACCGAAGCUGUGGAUUGUCCUUUGGACAAUGGUAGGAGAGCGUUCUAAAGGCGUUGAAGCAUGAUCGUAAGGACAUGUGGAGCGCUUAGAAGUGAGAAUGCCGGUGUGAGUAGCGAAAGACGGGUGAGAAUCCCGUCCACCGAUUGACUAAGGUUUCCAGAGGAAGGCUCGUCCGCUCUGGGUUAGUCGGGUCCUAAGCUGAGGCCGACAGGCGUAGGCGAUGGAUAACAGGUUGAUAUUCCUGUACCACCUAUAAUCGUUUUAAUCGAUGGGGGGACGCAGUAGGAUAGGCGAAGCGUGCGAUUGGAUUGCACGUCUAAGCAGUAAGGCUGAGUAUUAGGCAAAUCCGGUACUCGUUAAGGCUGAGCUGUGAUGGGGAGAAGACAUUGAGUCUUCGAGUCGUUGAUUUCACACUGCCGAGAAAAGCCUCUAGAUAGAAAAUAGGUGCCCGUACCGCAAACCGACACAGGUAGUCAAGAUGAGAAUUCUAAGGUGAGCGAGCGAACUCUCGUUAAGGAACUCGGCAAAAUGACCCCGUAACUUCGGGAGAAGGGGUGCUCUUUAGGGUUAACGCCCAGAGGAGCCGCAGUGAAUAGGCCCAAGCGACUGUUUAUCAAAAACACAGGUCUCUGCUAAACCGUAAGGUGAUGUAUAGGGGCUGACGCCUGCCCGGUGCUGGAAGGUUAAGAGGAGUGGUUAGCUUCUGCGAAGCUACGAAUCGAAGCCCCAGUAAACGGCGGCCGUAACUAUAACGGUCCUAAGGUAGCGAAAUUCCUUGUCGGGUAAGUUCCGACCCGCACGAAAGGCGUAACGAUUUGGGCACUGUCUCAACGAGAGACUCGGUGAAAUCAUAGUACCUGUGAAGAUGCAGGUUACCCGCGACAGGACGGAAAGACCCCGUGGAGCUUUACUGUAGCCUGAUAUUGAAAUUCGGCACAGCUUGUACAGGAUAGGUAGGAGCCUUUGAAACGUGAGCGCUAGCUUACGUGGAGGCGCUGGUGGGAUACUACCCUAGCUGUGUUGGCUUUCUAACCCACACCACUUAUCGUGGUGGGAGACAGUGUCAGGCGGGCAGUUUGACUGGGGCGGUCGCCUCCUAAAAGGUAACGGAGGCGCUCAAAGGUUCCCUCAGAAUGGUUGGAAAUCAUUCAUAGAGUGUAAAGGCAUAAGGGAGCUUGACUGCGAGACCUACAAGUCGAGCAGGGUCGAAAGACGGACUUAGUGAUCCGGUGGUUCCGCAUGGAAGGGCCAUCGCUCAACGGAUAAAAGCUACCCCGGGGAUAACAGGCUUAUCUCCCCCAAGAGUUCACAUCGACGGGGAGGUUUGGCACCUCGAUGUCGGCUCAUCGCAUCCUGGGGCUGUAGUCGGUCCCAAGGGUUGGGCUGUUCGCCCAUUAAAGCGGUACGCGAGCUGGGUUCAGAACGUCGUGAGACAGUUCGGUCCCUAUCCGUCGUGGGCGUAGGAAAUUUGAGAGGAGCUGUCCUUAGUACGAGAGGACCGGGAUGGACAUACCUCUGGUGUACCAGUUGUCGUGCCAACGGCAUAGCUGGGUAGCUAUGUGUGGACGGGAUAAGUGCUGAAAGCAUCUAAGCAUGAAGCCCCCCUCAAGAUGAGAUUUCCCAACUUCGGUUAUAAGAUCCCUCAAAGAUGAUGAGGUUAAUAGGUUCGAGGUGGAAGCAUGGUGACAUGUGGAGCUGACGAAUACUAAUCGAUCGAAGACUUAAUCAA